rnacentral:rRNA from 1 species
CAGUCGCCGCGGUAAUACGGAGGGAGCUAGCGUUGUUCGGAAUUACUGGGCGUAAAGCGCACGUAGGCGGCUUUGUAAGUUAGAGGUGAAAGCCUGGAGCUCAACUCCAGAAUUGCCUUUAAGACUGCAUCGCUUGAAUCCGGGAGAGGUGAGUGGAAUUCCGAGUGUAGAGGUGAAAUUCGUAGAUAUUCGGAAGAACACCAGUGGCGAAGGCGACUGACUGGACAAGUAUUGACGCUGAGGUGCGAAAGCGUGGGGAGCAAACAGGAUUAGAUACCCCAGUAGUCCCUGUCUCUUAUAC